rnacentral:rRNA from 1 species
UACGUAGGGUGCAAGCGUUUAAUCGGAAUUACUGGGCGUAAAGCGUGCGCAGGCGGCUUUGCAAGACAGAUGUGAAAUCCCCGGGCUUAACCUGGGAAUGGCAUUGGAAACUGGCUGGCUAGAGUGUGGCAGAGGGGGGUGGAAUUCCGCGUGUAGCAGUGAAAUGCGUAGAGAUGCGGAGGAACACCGAUGGCGAAGGCAGCCCCCUGGGCUGACACUGACGCUCAGGCACGAAAGCGUGGGGAGCAAACAGG